rnacentral:rRNA from 1 species
AAUGAACGUUGGCGGCGUGCCUAACACAUGCAAGUCGAGCGUGAAAGUCCUCCGGGAUGAGUAAAGCGGCGAACGGGUGAGUAACGCGUGAGAAUCUACCUUUUAGUGAAGAAUACCUUUGGGAAACUAAAGUUAAUGCUGCAUAAGUCUCGCAAGAGAGAAAGAUGGCCUCUUUGCUGUCGCUAAAAGAUGAGCUUGCGUUCUAUUAGUUAGUUGGUGGGGUAAAGGCCUACCAAGACGAUGAUGGAUAACCGGCCUGAGAGGGUGUACGGUCACAUUGGAACUUAGACACGGUCCAAACUCCUACGGGAGGCAGCAGUGAGGAAUAUUGCACAAUGGGCGAAAGCCUGAUGCAGCGACGCCGCGUGGAGGAUGACGGUCUUCGGAUUGUAAACUCCUGUUAAGUGGGAAAAAAGAAUCACUGUUAAUAGCGGUGAGAGAUGAUGGUACCACUAGAGAAAGCACCGGCUAACUUCGUGCCAGCAGCCGCGGUAAUACGGA